CGUUUCUCGAGGAGGUUCUUGGGUCGUAGGAUUGAUCACGCCUUUUCGCUUUCUACGAGAUUGAAUUUUAGCCAUUUGAUCGUUCUUAAUCAUGGCCAUUGGAUUUGAUCAACGGUUGUAACAUGAUGGAAGGCGUUGUUUCGUGAUGCAGGUGCAGGGAUCUGAAGAGUCUAUAAAUAGGAGGGAGAAAGUUCAUUUGGAACUUUUCCUUUCUU
rnacentral:lncRNA from 1 species